rnacentral:rRNA from 1 species
UUCCUACGGGAGGCAGCAGUGGGGAAUAUUGCGCAAUGGGCGAAAGCCUGACGCAGCGACGCCGCGUGGGGGAUGACGCUUUUCGGAGUGUAAACCCCUUUCGAUCGGGACGAAUGCCUCGCAAGAGGAGUGACGGUACGGGUAUAAGAAGCCCGGCUAACUACGUGCCAGCAGCCCGGUAAUUC